rnacentral:rRNA from 1 species
CCCUUAGAUGUUCUGGGCCGCACGCGCGCUACACUGAUGCAUUCAACGAGUCUAAAACCUGCUCUGAUAGGGGUGGGUAAUCUUUUGAAUGUGCAUCGUGAUUGGGAUUGAUGAUUGCAAUUUUUCAUCUUCAACGAGGAAUGCCUAGUAAACGCAAGUCAUCAGCUUGCAUUGAUUACAUCCCUGCCAUUUGUACACACCGCCCGUCGCUCCUACCGAUUGAAUGAUCCGAUGAAUAUCAUGGAUUGAGGAUGCAAGCAGGUUCGCCUGUCUUCAUCUUCGAGAAGUGAAGUAAAUCUUAUCAUUUAGAGGAAGGAGAAGUCGUAACA